GAUGAACGCUAGCGGCAGGCUUAAUACAUGCAAGUCGAGGGGCAGCAGGGAUAGCAAUAUUCGCUGGCGACCGGCGCACGGGUGCGUAACACGUAUACAAUCUGCCUUUUACAGGGGGAUAGCCUUUCGAAAGAGAGAUUAAUACCCCAUAAUAGAUUUAAUGGCAUCAUUAGAUUUUGAAAACUGCGGCGGUAAAAAAUGAGUAUGCGUCUGAUUAGCUAGUAGGUGAGGUAACGGCUCACCUAGGCCACGAUCAGUAGGGGAUCUGAGAGGACUACCCCCCACACGGAUACUGAGACACGGAUCCGACUCCUACGGGAGGCAGCAGUAAGGAAUAUUGGACAAUGCCCGCAAGGGUGAUCCAGCCAUGCCGCGUGCAGGAAGACUGCCCUAUGGGUUGUAAACUGCUUUUAUACAAGAGAAAACCUCCCUUCGUGAAGGGAGCUGAUAGUAUUGUAGGAAUAAGCAUCGGCUAACUUCGUG
rnacentral:rRNA from 1 species